UUCCGGUUGAUCCCGCCGGACCUGCACUGCUAUCGGAUUGAUACUAAGCCAUGCGAGUCUUUGCAGUAAUGCAAGGCAGACGGCUCAGUAACACGUAGUCAACUUACCCUAUGGACGAGGAUAAUCUCGGGAAACUGAGCAUAAUACUCGAUAGAUCAUAAUGCCUGGAAUGGUUUAUGGUUGAAAUGAUUCGUCGCCAUAGGAUGGGACUGCGGCCUAUCAGCUUGUUGGUGAGGUAAUGGCCCACCAAGGCGAUUACAGGUACGGGCUCUGAGAGGAGAAGCCCGGAGAUGGGUACUGAGACAAGGACCCAGGCCCUAUGGGGCGCAGCAGGCGAGAAAACUUUGCAAUGUGCGAAAGCACGACAAGGUUAAUCCGAGUGAUUUCUGCUAAAGAAAUCUUUUGCAAGUCAUAAAACCACUAGUGAAUAAGGGGUGGGCAAGUUCUGGUGUCAGCCGCCGCGGUAAAACCAGCACCUCAAGUGGUCAGGAGGAUUAUUGGGCCUAAAGCAUCCGUAGCCGGCUCUGUAAGUUUUCGGUUAAAUCCAUGUGCUCAACACAUGGGCUGCCGAAAAUACUGCAUAGCUAGGGAGUGGGAGAGGUAGACGGUACUCGGUAGGAAGGGGUAAAAUCCUUUGAUCUAUCGAUGACCACCUGUGGCGAAGGCGGUCUACCAGAACACGUUCGACGGUGAGGGAUGAAAGCUGGGGGAGCAAACCGGAUUAGAUACCCGGGUAGUCCCAGCUGUAAACGAUGCAGACUCGAUGAUGCAUUGGCAUAUAGCCAGUGCAGUGUCGCAGGGAAGCCGUUAAGUCUGCCGCCUGGGAAGUACGUACGCAAGUAUGAAACUUAAAGGAAUUGGCGGGGGAGCACCACAAGGGGUGAAGCCUGCGGUUCAAUUGGAGUCAACGCCGGG
rnacentral:rRNA from 1 species